CGGCGCCGUGGGGCCGGUCUCUGUGGUGGAGGCUCCUCGGGCCGGGGGCGCGGGCUGUGAGGAGCCGCGUGCACUGUCGCAAGGGCACGAGCCCGACGAAUCUGAGGAGGAGGCCGGGGAUGUGGAGUCCGAGUGGCCGGCCCAGCCCCAACCCUGGGAUGAAUGGUUGGAUGUUCACCUGGAGGAAGGUCUCUAGUGAUGUGUCACCGGCUCUAUUCCCAGCCUUGUCAUGGGCAGCAUUACGAAUUCGAAUGAAGGUCUCUGUGACAUAGAGCAAGGUUCCAUUGGGACGUGAGGACUCCAGGGCAUUGCUCCUACCCUGGCACCCCCACUCUCAGGGCAGCCCUCCAGGAGCUCACCCAUCAGUCUCACGGGCUGGAAGCUGUGGAAGAUGCAAAACAUAAGACCCCCCAGCAUAAAAGAGACCCUAGAUACCACUUCUCAUGAAGACGUCAAGCCAGACACCAGGUACUACACAGUCCAGCUGGAGAGCAUUACACACAAAGUAGCCAUUAGGAAGGUGCGUACUCCAACCCAAGGGAUCAGGUAGGCAAUGUAGAUUCUCUGAGAUUUUCUAUGUGACAAUCAUGUUGUCUACAGAGUUUUAUUCCUUUCCAAUCCAUAUGCCUUUUAUUUGUUUUUUCUUAUUGUACAAGCUAGACCCUCCAGAACAAUGCUGAAUAGGCAUAUGCGUAGGAGCAGACAUCCUUACCUUCUUAUUAGGGGGAAAGUUUUCAGUCUUUCACUAUUUAAUACGAUGUUGUCUGUAUGUUCUUUAUAGAUGCCUUUUACCAGGAUGAGAAAGUUCCCCUCUAUUCCUAGUUUGCUGAGAAUUUUUAUCAUGAAGGGUGCUGAAUUUUGUCAAAUGUUUUUUUCUGUGUAAUUUCCAGUCACAUUUCAUUGGCGGAGCCUGUUAUACCUGCCCCAAAGUGGCAGAACACCAGGCAGAGGCCAGUAGUGGCAGCUAUGGCAAUAGGCCAAGCCCCUGAUCCUGCCAGGCUGAGGGUGUCCUGCAGGGCAGCAGGCUCACCCCUCCCUGGGCUCAGAUGGUCCAGCAACCUGACCAGAUUUGUCCAGCUUGUUGGAUGUGCCUGGGACAGCUCCCUCAGUGUUCCCCCCACUCACCUCCACCAGGGAAGAGUGCAGCCCAGGACCAGCCUGCCUCAGGAGAGUGGAUCACUGUUCCUCUCACCUCUAGCAGGAAUCAUAGCCUCACCCCCGGUCUCUAGCUGAUUCUAAAGACCUGGCUGCAACAUGCCCCUGGGAUCCCGUUAUACAAAUUGGAAACGAAGGGGCAAGGGAAUUGAAUUAUUUGCUAAGGUCCCCAACUGGUUGAAAGCAGCCCCAAACGCAGGUACUGGACUUCCAGCUCUCUGAUCCUGCUUCCUUUAACCUGUUGAGCUGGCCCAACACCCGGGGCUGGGCGCGGGAGUGGGUGGAGGGGGGGGAGGGCCCGAGUGCCUGGCUCCGGUGCCCAUACGUGGGCCCACCGGUGGCCAACCUGGUGCAGCCACCGGCCGGCACCUUCGCGCCACACUCCUCGGUUGGUUCAAAGGGUCAGGCCCCGCCCCCUCCAGGCCCCAAGCCCGCUUUGAUGUGCUGAUGCGGCCUGGAAGGGGCCACUUCACACCUUGGGCUCGGGAUAAAGCGGUCCUCGGCGGCCGGUCCCCAGACGCGCCGCUGCUGCG